GACGAACGCUGGCGGCGUGCUUAACACAUGCAAGUCGAACGGAAAGGCCCUGCUUUUGUGGGGUGCUCGAGUGGCGAACGGGUGAGUAACACGUGAGUAACCUGCCCUUGACUUUGGGAUAACUUCAGGAAACUGGGGCUAAUACCGGAUAGGAGCUCCUGCUGCAUGGUGGGGGUUGGAAAGUUUCGGCGGUUGGGGAUGGACUCGCGGCUUAUCAGCUUGUUGGUGGGGUAGUGGCUUACCAAGGCUUUGACGGGUAGCCGGCCUGAGAGGGUGACCGGCCACAUUGGGACUGAGAUACGGCCCAGACGCCUACGGGAGGCAGCGGUGGGGAAUAUUGCACAGUGGGCGGAAGCCUGUGGCGGCAACGCCGCGUGCGGGAUGACGGCCUUCGGGUUGAAAACCGCUUUCGCAUGUGACAAGGCGUGAGUGACGGUAAUGGGUAAAGAAGCACCGGCUAACUACGUG
rnacentral:rRNA from 1 species